GCGAUGUAACAGGGGGUGUAUAGAUUAUACAGUUAUGGUGAUUUUAUUAACAAAGACACGGGUCUGUUGGUGAUUAAGAAGCACCUCGUAACGUUGACAUCAGCGCAGAUCAGUUUGUGCAUUAUUUGUACGUAUUAUAUCAUAUUCAGUUAGGGUUUCCAUUAAAUCCAGUUCGGUUAUUGUGAUUUAAAGUUUUUUGUUUUUUUUUACAGGGUGAUGAUCCUAAUUUUCAGAAAGCGUUGAUUGGAUGGUAUAGAAAAU